CCCUUAGAUGUUCUGGGCCGCACGCGCGCUACACUGACUACUUCAACGAGUUGUUUCCUUGAUCGAAAGGUCUGGGUAAUCUUUGAAAGGUAGUCGUGAUGGGGAUAGAUCCUUGCAAUUUUUGAUCUUCAACGAGGAAUUCCUAGUAAACGCAAGUCAUCAGCUUGCAUUGAUUACGUCCCUGCCCUUUGUACACACCGCCCGUCGCACCUACCGAUUGAAUGAUUUAGUGAGGACUUCGGACUGGGACCGAUGCGGCUUUCGGGCUGCGUCGGUAUUCUGGAAAGAUGUCCAAACUGUAUCAUUUAGAGGAAGUAAAAGUCGUAACA
rnacentral:rRNA from 1 species